GAAGUAAGUGUGUAAUUCUGUACAGAAAAUACUUGCUCCGCAGAAUGGAGACACACACUGACAGUUUCAUUCCACUUGUAUCCUAUUUCCUUCCUAUUCAGCUCUUGGAGCUAUUUACACUUGUAAAAGAAGAGUCCUGAUGAGUCUAAGGCCCUUGCAACCCUAAGCUUCAGCACCACAACAGGGAAGAAAUGCAGAAAAAGACAAGGUUGUGGCAGUCAUCUACAACUUGAGGAGUGGUUUAUUUUGUACGUGUGGCUUGAUUCCAGUUUGCCUGCCCUGCCAGUAUUUCCACCUAGGAGCAGGGAAACAGAAAGUGAGGAGAUAAGCUGAAACUCACCAGGAUUACUUUUCUGCACGUGUAGUUACAGCAGUUGGACCGAGAUGAGCCAUCAUCACCGAGGUGCAGAGCAGCAGACUGGUGAGAUCAUUCCUUUUACACUCACUCACACAGAGGCAGAAUCAGUUUCCAAGCCCAACUUUCUAUUUUCUCCGAUCCGCGCAGGAGAAAGAGGCUAAAAGUUGAGUUACAGCAUUCCUUCUUGCAAGUGGCAGCCAGCACAAGACAGCAUUACAAUUCACAAAACUGUGUUUGACAACAUUAAGUGAUCUCCCAGCAACAAAAAAAGGCGUUUUCCUCUUUCCUGAACUCUUGAGAAAACUUUCCUGAGGGAUUUCCCAUGGGAAACGAUCCCAGUUGCACAUAACAGGCAGUGCGGUGGUCCCUGCAGCCGGGCACCCCUGCACGCUAUUUUUCCAUGCAGCUGCCCACCUGGCUCCUCUCACUUCCCUCAGCCCUCCCAGCUGCACAAACAGAGGGGCACGCAGCCAUCUCAACGCGCUUCCUCCUGCGGCCCUGCAGGGCGGGCCGGCCGGCCGUCCUGCUCGUACAGCAACUGCUUUAACGGCCCGAGACAUCCAGCUCUUCCCCAUUACGUGCACCACGGGACCGGGCUGCUCCCCGCAGCGCGCACGCGGCUCGGGCCCUACCGGGCAGCGCUCAGCAGCGCGCUCAGCGCCUGUGUGGCCACGAAGGCUGGAAGCGAGCGCGCCCGCUCUGCGCUGAGGUCUGCGUUCGGUCUCUAUUCAGCACGUGUAAACGUCAGUGCGGGGUGAAAAGAGAAACUGCAACGAAUGUCUGGAAAGCUGAGCGCUCAGUCCUCGGCAGGAAUCCGGACUCUGCUAGAGGCUCCUCAGACACCCGGCAAUCACAGAGCCGUUGAGGCUGGAGACGAGCACUGAGACGGGCACGGCCGCUAAGCGCGCCCCUCAGCGCCGCACCUGCGCGGCUGUCCCCACCACCCCCCGGCAGUCCUCCG
rnacentral:lncRNA from 1 species